GGGUAGAUGUGGCUAUGACUUGCUGAGUGGAUGCUUUCAGGUCCUGGAGCAUACAGAUUAUUCCCAUAGUGAAACCCACGUUCCUCAGCAGAAGGGUUGGACGGGUUCAAGGGAAUGCCACCAAGAGGUUUAUCGUGAAACCCUUCAUUGGAAAUUUCGGGUCCAGGUCGGUGGCCAAAAGGAUAAUUCAUCCCAGGACCAUCAAGAGUGUAAUGAUCACUUGGUCUUCCAACAUUAGAUAAAAGUGGCCUCCCUUCAUCAAUACGUGGAGGAUUAGGAUUAGGAUUAGGAUUCACCUGUUGUUGACCUAUCCAUCCUCUUUCAUGCCCGAAAGUCUCAUUUGCAUAAGCCCCAUGAGGAGUAGGAGGCUUUGGGUCUGCGUUAAGCAUAAAAGCUUCCCUGUUGGGCGGACACUGUGCACAAUGAGCAGAAGGAACCGGUUGAAAUCCAUUAGCUUGAUCAAACGGCUGAUGGUUCUUAUGAAACGGUACACGACAGCUCUCGCAUAUAUUACCACCCCCUUCAUAGCCACUUGGACCACCGUGAAGCACAUUCCCAGGAAAACCUCCUUUACUCUCAAGCGGCGUAGCUCCAGCCGGGACCCACACCACGUUAUCAGGAACCUGUCCCUGGUGCUCAUAUAAAGGAUGAUGCCCCGGCCUCGCGUAAUCCUCAGGCAUUCUAUCAAACCCCUUAUCAAGAACUUCCCCAUACGGCAUCCGGUAACGAGCAGACGAAGGCGAAGACGGAAACUCCUGAAAAUGACCAUGAUGCCGAGGAGAAUAGUAAGGACUCCAUGUGCCUUCUACAUCACCAUACCUCGCUGCAAUCAUCUGCCCCGAACCCACACGAGGAAUCCUUAGCUGGUGAAGAUUAUUAUACUGAGCAACAGGUAUCUCGUUCCCCCUCUGACUUCCACCACCUCCACUCUCAAUAGCCAGCUGAUUAAAAGGUUCCACCAUCGAAAAAUCGUCAUUAUUCAGAUUGAACCUCGGCGAGUCAGGAUACUGCUGCACCUUCCUAAAAUCCGUCCCCUCAACCAAAUUAUUAAGAGCAUCAACGUAUCUCCUCUCAGACUCCCUCUGAUCAUGAAACCCUUCAUUGGAAAUUUCGGGUCCAGGUCGAUGGCCAAAAGGAUAAUUCAUCCCAGGACCAUCAAGAGUGUAAUGAUCACUUGGUCUUCCAACAUUAGAUAAAAGUGGCCUCCCCUCAUCAAUACGUGGAGGAUUAGGAUUAGGAUUAGGAUUCACCUGUUGUUGACCUAUCCAUCCUCUUUCAUGCCCGAAAGUCUCAUUUGCAUAAGCCCCAUGAGGAGUAGGAGGCUUUGGGUCUGCGUUAAGCAUAAAAGUUUCCCUGUUGGGCGGACACUGUGCACAAUGAGCAGAAGGAACCGGUUGAAAUCCAUUAGCUUGAUCAAACGGCUGAUGGUUCUUAUGAAACGGUACACGACAGCUCUCGCAUAUAUUACCACCCCCUUCAUAGCCACUUGGACCACCGUGAAGCACAUUCCCAGGAAAACCUCCUUUACUCUCAAGCGGCGUAGCUCCAGCCGGGACCCACACCACGUUAUCAGGAACCUGUCCCUGGUGCUCAUAUAAAGGAUGAUGCCCCG
rnacentral:lncRNA from 1 species